ensembl:lncRNA
GGAGGGAGAGUCCUGCUCCUACAGCCAGAGGACCAUGGAGGUGAUACUGGGAGAGAGGGAGGGAGAGUCCUGCUCCUACAGCCAGAGGACCAUGGAGGUGAUACUGGGAGAGAGGGAGGGAGAGUCCUGCUCCUACAGCCAGAGGGCCUCUGUUUCCCUUCUCUAUCUCACCCUGGCAUGUUUUAUUUUAUUUUUAACACUACAGUACUACUAGAGGGUGUGUGUGUGUGACCAGUACACUACAGUACUACUAGAGGGUGUGUGUGUGUGACCAGUACACUACAGUACUACUAGAGGGUGUGGGUGUGUGUGACCCGUAAACUACAGUACUACUAGAGGGUGUGUGUGUGACCAAUACACUACAGUACUACUAGAAGGUGUGUGUGUGUGUGACCCGUACACUACAGUACUACUAGAGGGUGUGUGUGUGUGACCAGUACACUACAGUACUACUAGAGGGUGUGUGUGUGUGUGACCCGUACACUACAGUACUACUAGAGGGUGUGUGUGUGACCCGUACACUACAGUACUACUAGAGGGUGUGUGUGUGUGACCCGUACACUACAGUACUACUAGAGGGUGUGUGUGUGUGACCCGUACACUACAGUACUACUAGAGGGUGUGUGUGUGACCAGUACACUACAGUACUACUAGAGGGUGUGUGUGUGUGACCAGUACACUACAGUACUACUAGAGGGUGUGUGUGUGUGUGUGUGUGUGACCCGUACACUACAGUACUACUAGAGG